rnacentral:rRNA from 1 species
CCUACGGGUGGCAGCAGUGGGGAAUAUUGCGCAAUGGGCGAAAGCCUGACGCAGCGACGCCGCGUGAGGGAUGAAGGUCUUCGGAUCGUAAACCUCUGUCAGCAGGGAAGAACGGUCACUGUGCUAAUCAGCAGUGAAUUGACGGUACCUGCACAGGAAGCACCGGCUAACUCCGUGCCAGCAGCCGCGGUAAUACGGAGGGUGCGAGCGUUAAUCGGAAUUACUGGGCGUAAAGCGCUCGUAGGCGGUAUGUCAAGUCAAGGGUGAAAUCCCCGCGCUCAACGUGGGAACAGCCGUUGAAACUGGCAAACUGGAGUGUGUGAGAGGAUAGUGGAAUUCCAGGUGUAGGAGUGAAAGCCGUAGAUAUCUGGAGGAACAUCAGUGGCGAAGGCGACUAUCUGGCACAUAACUGACGCUGAGGAGCGAAAGCGUGGGUAGCAAACAGGAUUAGAUACCCCGGUAGUC